AAAAUAUAUGACAUCAAGUAUAAACCUUCAGCCAUAUAAUACUUAUAUUCAUAUUCCAAAACACAAUUUAUUUUUGUACAUGUUUCAUACACUUCAUAUCAAAACAUUAGAUGCAUAUUUGAAGACAAGAAAGCAUAAUAGUAUUUUGUUUGCAUAUAAUGAUUUACUAUUAAAUCACUUUUUCUUAAUGUCAAGGAGUCCCACAUGAGCAGGUAUUUGAUUUGUUGAAAAUUCAACUUUGUUAUUUUAUAUACCAUUAUUAAAUUAAAUUAUUAAAA
rnacentral:lncRNA from 1 species